UACGUAGGGGGCAAGCGUUGUUCGGAAUUACUGGGCGCAAGGGGCGCGUAGGCGGCCUUCUAAGUCAGACGUGAAAUCCCCCGGCUUAACCUGGGAACUGCGUCUGAUACUGGGAGGCUUGAGUAUGGGAGAGGGAUGUAGAAUUCCAGGUGUAGCGGUGAAAUGCGUAGAUAUCAUCUGGAACGCCAAUGGUGAAAACAGGUAGCUGGGAGUGUGCUGACGCUGAGACACGAAAGCCAGGGGAGCGAACGGG
rnacentral:rRNA from 1 species